UACGUAGGGUGCGAGCGUUGUCCGGAAUUAUUGGGCGUAAAGGGCUCGUAGGCGGUUUGUCGCGUCGGGAGUGAAAACCCAGGGCUUAACGUCUGGGCUUGCUUUCGAUACGGGCAGACUAGAGGUAUGCAGGGGAGAACGGAAUUCCUGGUGUAGCGGUGAAAUGCGCAGAUAAUCAGGAGGAACACCGGUGGCGAAGGCGGUUCUCGGGGCAUUACCUGACGCUGAGGAGCGAAAGUGUGGGGAGCGAACAGGG
rnacentral:rRNA from 1 species